GGCGAACGGGUGAGUAACACGUGAGCAAUCUGCCCUUGACUCUGGGAUAACUGCGGGAAACUGUAGCUAAUACCGGAUAUGAGGCUUGGAGGCAUCUCCAGGUCUGGAAAGAAUUUCGGUCAAGGAUGAGCUCGCGGCCUAUCAGCUAGUUGGUGAGGUAAUGGCUCACCAAGGCGACGACGGGUAGCCGGCCUGAGAGGGUGACCGGCCACACUGGGACUGAGACACGGCCCAGACUCCUACGGGAGGCAGCAGUGGGGAAUAUUGCACAAUGGGCGAAAGCCUGAUGCAGCAACGCCGCGUGAGGGAUGAAGGCCUUCGGGUUGUAAACCUCUUUUAGCAGGGAAGAAGCGAAAGUGACGGUACCUGCAGAAAAAGCACCGGCUAACUACGUGCCAGCAGCCGCGGUAAUACGUAGGGUGCAAGCGUUGUCCGGAAUUAUUGGGCGUAAAGAGCUCGUAGGCGGUUUGUCGCGUCUGCUGUGAAAAUCCGAGGCUCAACCUCGGACUUGCAGUGGGUACGGGCAGACUAGAGUGCAGUAGGGGAGAAGGGAAUUCCUGGUGUAGCGGUGGAAUGCGCAGAUAUCAGGAGGAACACCGAUGGCGAAGGCACUUCUCUGGGCUGUAACUGACGCUGAGGAGCGAAAGCGUGGGGAGCGAACAGGAUUAGAUACCCUGGUAGUCCACGCCGU
rnacentral:rRNA from 1 species